AAAUUGAAGAGUUUGAUCAUGGCUCAGAUUGAACGCUGGCGGCAGGCCUAACACAUGCAAGUCGAACGGUAACAGGAAGCGCUUGCUGCUUCGCUGACGAGUGGCGGACGGGUGAGUAAUGUCUGGGAAACUGCCUGAUGGAGGGGGAUAACUACUGGAAACGGUAGCUAAUACCGCAUAACGUCGCAAGACCAAAGAGGGGGGCCUUCGGGCCUCUUGCCAUCGGAUGUGCCCAGAUGGGAUUAGCUUGUUGGUGGGGUAACGGCUCACC
rnacentral:rRNA from 2 species